rnacentral:rRNA from 1 species
UACGGAGGAUGCAAGCGUUAUCCGGAAUUAUUGGGCGUAAAGCGUCCGCAGGUGGUUAUCCAAGUCUGCUGUUAAAGCGCGAGGCUUAACUUCGUACAGGCAGUGGAAACUGGGUGACUGGAGUAUGGUAGGGGUAGCGGGAAUUCCCAGUGUAGCGGUGAAAUGCGUAGAUAUUGGGAAGAACAUCGGUGGCGAAGGCGCUCUGCUGGACCAUAACUGACACUCAGGGACGAAAGCUAGGGGAGCGAAUGGG